AACGAACGCUGGCGGCAUGCCUAACACAUGCAAGUCGAACGAGACCUUCGGGUCUAGUGGCGCACGGGUGCGUAACGCGUGGGAACCUGCCCUUAGGUUCGGAAUAACUCCCCGAAAGGGGUGCUAAUACCGGAUAAUGUCUUCGGACCAAAGAUUUAUCGCCUUUGGAUGGGCCCGCGUUGGAUUAGCUAGUUGGUAGGGUAAAAGCCUACCAAGGCGACGAUCCAUAGCUGGUCUGAGAGGAUGAUCAGCCACACUGGGACUGAGACACGGCCCAGACUCCUACGGGAGGCAGCAGUGGGGAAUAUGGGACACUGGGCGAAAGCCUGAUCCAGCAAUGCCGCGUGAGUGAUGAAGGCCUUAGGGUUGUAAAGCUCUUUUACCCGGGAUGAUAAUGACAGUACCGGGAGAAUAAGCUCCGGCUAACUCCGU
rnacentral:rRNA from 1 species